rnacentral:rRNA from 1 species
AUAACGAACGCUGGCGGCAGGCUUAACACAUGCAAGUCGAACGCGUGUAGCAAUACACGAGUGGCGCACGGGUGAGUAACGCGUGGAUAUCUGCCUUUUGGUUCGGAAUAACCCCGGGAAACUGGGGCUAAUACCGGAUGGUUCCUUCGGGAUAAAGAUUUAUCGCCAAAAGAUGAGUCCGCGUACGAUUAGCUAGUUGGUGAGGUAAUGGCUCACCAAGGCGACGAUCGUUAGCUGGUCUGAGAGGACGAUCAGCCACACUGGGACUGAGACACGGCCCAGACUCCUACGGGAGGCAGCAGUGGGGAAUAUUGGACAAUGGGGGCAACCCUGAUCCAGCCAUGCCGCGUGAGUGAUGAAGGCCUUCGGGUUGUAAAGCUCUUUUGCCAGGGAUGAUAAUGACAGUACCUGGAGAAUAAGCUCCGGCUAACUCCGUGCCAGCAGCCGC